rnacentral:rRNA from 1 species
CGAAGGGGCGUAGCGUUGCUCGGAAUCACUGGGCGUAAAGGGCGCGUAGGCGGCGUUUUAAGUCGGGGGUGAAAGCCUGUGGCUCAACCACAGAAUGGCCUUCGAUACUGGGACGCUUGAGUAUGGUAGAGGUUGGUGGAACUGCGAGUGUAGAGGUGAAAUUCGUAGAUAUUCGCAAGAACACCGGUGGCGAAGGCGGCCAACUGGACCAUUACUGACGCUGAGGCGCGAAAAGCGUGGGGAGCAAACAGGAUU